AUUCGACAGUCCCCGCUCUGAGAGGGAGGGACAGAGAGCGAACUGUCAGAUCGGAGCGAGAGCGGGCGCCCGAGAGAGGGAGAGAGAGAGAGGGAGGGAGAGGAAAAGUGAGAGAGGGAAAGAGAGCGCGAACGAGGGCGCAGAGCGAGCUCCUGCUGCAACUCUGCUCCAGCACGGCCAGCGCCAGCGCCCGCCGUCGGUGCACUCUACGAGCCGUGCAGCGUGCCCACUGGAGUUGUUGUGUAUCAAGGAUCGAUCCCCUAUAUGCACACACACACCUCCACCUCCACCAAUGCACUCUUCUUCCUCCUCCUUCUCCAGACAACUGCUGGGAAAAAAAUAAAACACCAACCCCAACCGUCAGCAACAAGGUAACAGAGCGAUUCGACAUCAUUUUUUUUCCUGUUCAAUUUUUUCCUUGUUAUAUUUGUUUCCUAAUUUCUGCCCAAAAGGAAAGAUGUCGCAUCAGACUGUGACUGUUGCGAGGAGAAUGAAAAAGGACUCUUGUUUCAGAGGCAACCAAGAGCUCCGGCAAUAGCAACUUCAGAGAAAUGCACCAUCGCAAGAAGUUUUCCUAGGACAGAACAAAACUUGAAACGAGAGGACCAGAGGGGGAGAGCAGGAGCCAGCCUCCCCUCUCCGCACUCGCGAGCAGCCAGCAGCACCACGCCUUCAAGGACGAAAAAGUUUUACUACUCUAAGGGAAAACGAGUGAAAUGUGUUCCUGAGGAGGAGAGGAGAGGAGAGGAGAGAGCGGACAAGAGAAGGAGCGGGCCGGUUGCUGGUCAUCCGUAAUUUGGCUAAGGAAGAAAGGAGCAGCUUCUUUCUUUGUUAUCUCCCGUGAAACCUUCACUUAGCAGGUGGACGGAGCCCCGCGACCGGGCAGAGUCCGGGCUCGCCCGAGGACAGGAGGAGGAGCGGGAGCCCGCGCGUCCCGGGAGAGCGCCCCGAGUGCAGGU
rnacentral:lncRNA from 1 species